GACAAACUAGAGCACAGUUUAAGCCAUCUGCCCUACUUGGAGGCUUUCAGAGUUAUCUCCAGCUGAGAGGUCCCAGUGGUAAUCAUGAGGUCGAUCAACUGGAAACUAGGCUGAGGGCCAUAAAUGUGUCCUGAAUAGCCACAUCCCCGGCCUGGAAGCCAUCAUUUCCUUUUGCAGCUUCUUUGUCGAUACAAUAUGUCCUUGUUUUGUGUGUAAAGUAGAGGAUUUGAUUUAUUAAACCAGGAAUGGAGAAUUUGUAGAAUUGAGAGAGGAUUUAAG